AUUGAGAGUUUGAUCCUGGCUCAGAUUGAACGCUGGCGGAAUGCUUUACACAUGCAAGUCGAACGGCAGCACGGGUGCUUGCACCUGGUGGCGAGUGGCGAACGGGUGAGUAACAUAUCGGAACGUACCCAGUAAUGGGGGAUAACUAGUCGAAAGAUUAGCUAAUACCGCAUACGACCUGAGGGUGAAAGCGGGGGAUCGCAAGACCUCGCGCGAUAGGAGCGGCCGAUGGCGGAUUAGCUAGUUGGUGGGGUAAAGGCUCACCAAGGCGACGAUCCGUAGCUGGUCUGAGAGGACGACCAGCCACACUGGAACUGAGACACGGUCCAGACUCCUACGGGAGGCAGCAGUGGGGAAUUUUGGACAAUGGGCGCAACCCUGAUCCAGCCAUUCCGCGUGAGUGAAGAAGGCCUUCGGGUUGUAAAGCUCUUUCGGCAGGAACGAAACGGCGGGCUCUAACAUAGCCUGUCAAUGACGGUACCUGAAGAAGAAGCACCGGCUAACUACGUGCCAGCAGCCGCGGUAAUACGUAGGGUGCGAGCGUUAAUCGGAAUUACUGGGCGUAAAGCGUGCGCAGGCGGUUUUGUAAGUCAGAUGUGAAAUCCCCGGGCUCAACCUGGGAACUGCGUUUGAAACUACAAGGCUAGAGUGUAGCAAAGGGGGGUAGAAUUCCACGUGUAGCAGUGAAAUGCGUAGAGAUGUGGAGGAAUACCAAUGGCGAAGGCAGCCCCCUGGGUUAACACUGACGCUCAUGCACGAAAGCGUGGGGAGCAAACAGGAUUAGAUACCCUGGUAGUCCACGCCCUAAACGAUGUCUACUAGUUGUUGGUGGAGUAAAAUCCAUUAGUAACGCAGCUAACGCGUGAAGUAGACCGCCUGGGGAGUACGGUCGCAAGAUUAAAACUCAAAGGAAUUGACGGGGGCCCGCACAAGCGGUGGAUUAUGUGGAUUAAUUCGAUGCAACGCGAAAAACCUUACCUGGCCUUGACAUGUACGGAACUUUCCCAAGAUGGAUUGGUGCCCCAAAAGGAACCGUAACACAGGUGCUGCAUGGGUGUCCUCACCUCCUGCGCGGGAAAG
rnacentral:rRNA from 1 species